rnacentral:rRNA from 1 species
CUCAAGGAAGAUAAUGACGGUACUUGAGGAGGAAGGCCCGGCUAACUACGUGCCAGCAGGCGCGGUAAUACGUAGGGGGCGAGCGUUAUCCGGAUUGACUGGGCGUAAAGGGUGCGUAGGCGGUCUUGCAAGUCAGGAGUGGAAGGCUACGGCUAAACCGUAGUAAGCUCUUGAAACUGGGAGACUUGAGUGCAGGAGAGGAGAGUGGAAUUCCUAGUGUAGCGGUGAAAUGCGUAGAUAUUAGGAGGAACACCA